rnacentral:rRNA from 1 species
GACGAACGCUGGCGGCGUGCUUAACACAUGCAAGUCGAACGGACAGGCCCUGCUUUUGUGGGGUGCUCGAGUGGCGAACGGGUGAGUAACACGUGAGUAACCUGCCCUUGACUUUGGGAUAACUUCAGGAAACUGGGGCUAAUACCGGAUAGGAGCUCCUGCUGCAUGGUGGGGGUUGGAAAGUUUCGGCGGUUGGGGAUGGACUCGCGGCUUAUCAGCUUGUUGGUGGGGUAGUGGCUUACCAAGGCUUUGACGGGUAGCCGGCCUGAGAGGGUGACCGGCCACAUUGGGACUGAGAUACGGCCCAGACUCCUACGGGAGGCAGCAGUGGGGAAUAUUGCACAAUGGGCGGAAGCCUGAUGCAGCAACGCCGCGUGCGGGAUGACGGCCUUCGGGUUGUAAACCGCUUUCGCCUGUGACGAAGCGUGAGUGACGGUAAUGGGUAAAGAGGCACCGGCUAACUACGUG